UCCCUUGUAGCUCAGUUGGUAAAGAAUCUGCCUGCAAUGCAGGAGACCCAGGUUCGAUUCCUGGGUUGGGAA
rfam:Ovis aries breed Texel chromosome 9, whole genome shotgun sequence.